UAUAGAGAUACUAGAGUUUUCCUUUAGUAGCAGGAGAGAAACUUGCAAUGGCAAAAAUUUCCUCCAUAAUAUUUGAAGGUAUGUUGUAGAUUACUAGAUCAUCAAAUUCAGAAUUAUUGAUUUUGCAUCAUAUUCUGAUCAGGACCUUGAACAGAAUGUUAAUCUGUUGUAUGAAGGGGACAAGAACACAGGUGACUGACUGA
rnacentral:misc_RNA from 1 species